rnacentral:tRNA from 1 species
GGCUUAGUGGUGUAGUGGUAUGAUUCUCGCUUUGGGUGCAAGUGGUUCGGGGCUCGAUUCCCCGCUAACCCC